CUGGUGCCUUCUUUCCGGGGCUACCCGGACGGCAGUCAACGGUGGAAGAAUGAGCUCUAGUAGCUGCUGCUUCCCAGGCGCUCGGAGAUGGGCAGCGAGAGCGCGCGUAGCAGCAGCACCAGCUCCGGGGCCGCCGCCGCUGAUCUUCUCUUCCUUCGGGGCUGGACCGCGCGCCUUCCUCAGCACGCCGCCGCCACGCAGCCCUCGGUCUCCGGGUCAAUGGCGCUAUCCCCCUAGGAUGGAUUACUCUGUGCUUGGGAAGGGGAUCUUCAGAGUUGUCUCUGGAUGAGGUAAUUUCAAGAUUUUUUUCAUUGCUGAUUGUGCCCAGGCUUCCAGAUUGUGUCAUUUUGGAUUUCAUCUUGAGGUCUUUUGCUUUUUCAUAAUGUUAUUCCAUUCCGUUCUGCAGCUUCUGAUGGAUGUAAAACGGUAUUUGAAUUUCCUUUCCUAUGUAUUUGAGAUUUUUUUUAGAUCUUUUAAA
rnacentral:lncRNA from 1 species